rnacentral:rRNA from 1 species
CACCGCGGUUAUACGGGAGGCCCAAGUUGUUAGAAGUCGGCGUAAAGGGUGGUUAAGAACAAGCUUAAAAUUAAAGCCGAACACCUUCCGAGCUGUUAUACGCAUCCGAAGGUAAGAAGCUCAAUUACGAAAGUAGCUUUAUAAUUUCUGAACCCACGAAAGCUAGGACA